rnacentral:rRNA from 1 species
CAGUACCGACGAAGCGCAAGUGACGGUAGGUACAGAAGAAGCACCGGCCAACUACGUGCCAGCAGCCGCGGUAAUACGUAGGGUGCGAGCGUUGUCCGGAAUUAUUGGGCGUAAAGGGCUCGUAGGCGGUUUGUCGCGUCGGGAGUGAAAACGCCGUGCUUAACACGGCGCUUGCUUUCGAUACGGGCAGACUAGAGGUAUUCAGGGGAGAACGGAAUUCCUGGUGUAGCGGUGAAAUGCGCAGAUAUCAGGAGGAACACCGGUGGCGAAGGCGGUUCUCUGGGAAUAUCCUGACGCUGAGGAGCGAAAGUGUGGGGAGCGAACAGGAUUAGAUACCCUGGUAGUCCACACCGUAAACGUUGGGCGCUAGGUGUGGGGUCCAUUCCACGGAUUCCGUGCCGCAGCUAACGCAUUAAGCGCCCCGCCUGGGGAGUACGGCCGCAAGGACUA